CCCUGUGCUUUAGAGCGGAGGGGCCACACCCGUUCCCAUUCCGAAUACGGAAGUUAAGCCCUCCAGCGUUGAUGGUACUUGCCGGGCAACUGGCUGGGAGAGUAGACCAGUGCAGGGU
rnacentral:rRNA from 1 species